rnacentral:rRNA from 1 species
UACGGAGGGUGCAAGCGUUAUCCGGAUUCACUGGGUUUAAAGGGUGCGUAGGAGGGCAGGUAAGUCAGUGGUGAAAUCUUCGAGCUUAACUCGGAAACUGCCGUUGAUACUAUCUGUCUUGAAUAUUGUGGAGGUGAGCGGAAUAUGUCAUGUAGCGGUGAAAUGCUUAGAUAUGACAUAGAACACCAAUUGCGAAGGCAGCUGGCUACACAUAUAUUGACUCUGAGGCACGAAAGCGUGGGGAUCAAACAGG